CCGAGGGUCUUGGCCUGCCAUCUGCUCCGUGGCCGGGUCGGGUGGGGCGUGCGGAGAGGUCCUGGGUUCCAGGGGUCAGGCUGUGGGCGCGGCGGGGGGAGCCGAGAGAGGGAGCCUGUCCCCCCAGAACCCUCGGCCCCGCGUCCUGGGCCAGCCGGCGCCCAGAGGCCGGCAGAAGAGGCUCCGGGGCCGCAGAGAUGGCCUCUGAGCUCGGAGACCCGCCUGUGGUUCGCCCUGUGGGCCGGACGCAGGGGACAGGUGCCCUUUGCUCCGUGUCCCGGUCCUUUAUCACCGAGGGCUGUUGGUCGGCAUCUGCAGGGACAGCAGGAGACCUCCGUCACCUCGGUGAAGGACACGGCCCUGGCCUGGUCAGCCUGCAGGAGUCUGGGUGCUGACCAUCUUGUCGGCCGGCCCUCAGGAGGGUGAGCUUUCUGUUCCUCGUUUCGGCCUGUUGCAGCACCACUGCCAGCUCUGAAACAAGCUCCAGAGCUAGUGCCAGCUCCUGAACCAGCACGACCACCAGCUCCAAAGCUAGCACCACCGUGAGUGCCAGAUGUCGCACCAGCUCUAGUGCCAAAUCUGGACUUAGAGUCGCUUCUGGCACAAGCCGAACAGUUAGGCAGACACACAGCAAACUCUAGCACCAGCUCUUGCAGUAGUUCCCGAGCUGGAGCUCCAGUGCCACUCCCAGAUUUAGUGCCAGCGCUAUCACCAAAUCUAGUAUGAGCUCAGAGCUAGAACUACUUCCAACACGAGAUGCUCAUGUCAAAGCCCUGGAACUACAAGCAGCUCCAGAACUAGCUCUAGCACCAGCUCCAAAGCUAGAACCAGCUUCAUCACUGACUCUGUCACCAACUGCAGAGAGAGAGGAACUCUAUUAUCAACCUAUGAGUCAGCUCCAGCACCAACCCUAACACCAGCUCUAGAGUUUGAAUCAGACCCAACACAAAUUCCAGAGGAACAGAUCAUGACAGGCACUGAACUGGAGCCUACUCCAGCACCAGCUCUGAUGACACACUAGGACUCCAGGUAGCUGUAGCAUGAGAGCCUUCUCUAGAGCUAGUUUCAGCACCAGAACUAGCUCCAGCACCCAAUUCUAAGCUGGAGCAAGCCCCAGUGCCAGCUCCAGAGCUGGAGCCUACUCCAGCACGAGGUCCAAAACCAGAGCCAAAUUUCACAUGAGCUCCAGCAGAAGCUCGAGUACUUCAGUGGUCUCCAGAGCCAGCUCCAACCAAAGCUCCAGACUCACGGCCAAUUGGAGCACCAGUUUCAGCACUCAAUCCUCUGCUAGAGCCGGUUCUAUUACUAGCUCCAGAAUUAGAGGAAGCACCAGCUCCACAGCCAGAGGUGCCUCCAACACGAGCUCUACCAAUAGCUUCAGCACCGGUGUUUGAGCCAAAUCCACAGCUGGAGCCAACUCCAGAUCCAACACUUAUAUCAACUCCUGAGAUAGAGCCAGCUCCACCUUUAGCUCCAGUGCUAGUUGCUGGGUCAGAGCUGGUGUUCUCCCAUGAGCUAGAGCGUGCUUGAACAGUAGCUAUAGCACCACUCCUCAGAUAGAGGAAGCUCUGUCCCCACGUCCUGGGUCAGCCAUGGGAAUAGUCCCAGUGCUCCCUUUAGAGUGAGAACCAGCUUGAUCCAGCUUCGAGCCAGUUCCAGGUUGCAAGGAAGAGCCAGCUCCAGCACCAGCUCUAGCAUUGGCUCCAGAAUUAGAGCCAUUCCUGCCACCCACUCCAGAGCUAGAGUCAGCACUAAAUACAGAGCUAGAGGCUGCUUCAUCAACAGUUCUAGACCCAGCUUCAGAGCUAGAGCCCCCACAAGUGCCGGCUCUUGCCCCAGCUCCAGAGUGGGAGCAGGUUUGUCUCCCAGUAGCAGACUUAGAGCCAGUCCCAGCUCCAGAUAAAGAACCAGCUCCAGCAACAGCUCUAGCCCCAACAUCAGUGCUAGAGCAUGCUGUGGUAGCAGCUCUAAAACCAAUUUCAUAGAGACAGAGGCAGCUCUAUCCUCAACUGCUAUACCAAAGCCUGUAUAUGUCCCAGUGCCAGAAUCUGCCCUGAUUCCAAUUCCAGGGCCAGAGCUACAAACAGCUCCACCACCAGUUUUAGUCCCAGCUACAAAGCUAGAACUGGGACGGGCAUUACAGCUAAACCACAAGAACCAGAUGUAGGACCAGAACAAGAGUCAGUGCCAACUCCAAAGCCAGAGCCAGCUCAAGCACCAGCUGAAAAGAUCAAGCCAGAUUCAGAAUGAGAACCAGCAGCCUCUACAGCCAGAGCCAACUCCAGCACCAGCUAUCACACCAGCAACAAGUCCACCACCUGUUUCACAGCUAGAUCCAUCACUAACUCUAGCACCAGCUGUAACACUAGCGCUCUAGCUACAUCGAGAUCCGGUAGCAGAUCCACAGCUCAAGCCACUGCAGCACCCCCUCAGGAGUCAGCACAAGCUUCAGUGUCAGCUUCAGAACUAGAUCCACAGCCAGCCCCAGAGUCAGAGCCAAAAACAGCAAGAGCUCCAGCAGGAGCUGCAGUGCCAGAGUUACAGCCAGCUCAAGACCUAUAUCGCCCUGCACAACCAGGACUACACUAUGUCUGGAGGUAUGUUGAGUAUAACACCUUCUCCAGAGCUAGAGCCAGUGCCAGCUAUGGAUCUAGAGCCAACUCCAGCACCGGCUCUUGCAUCCACCCAAGAGGUUGAGCCAGCUCCAGCUUCAGCUCAGGUGCCAGUUCUGGGAUCAGAGGAAUCUUUUGGACUAAAGCCAGCUGCAGCACCAGCUCUAGCACCAGCUCUAGAACUAGCCCAUGACACCCGCAUCCUGGGUGGGGCCAGGUGUGGGGCUGUGGGAAAGGACAAUUUCCACCAGGGAGAUCACUCUCAGGCACCUUGCUCACCCCCACUCCCAGCUCCUCCUCCUCCCUCCAUCCAUAAGGUUUCAGCCCCAGCGUGUCUGUGCCCCUACUUUCCCAAACAAGGCUCAAAGAGGCCUCUGAUGUUGGAAACUGUGGCCAAUACCUUAGAAACCAAAUACAUUUUGACGCAUAAAUUCCACAUCGUGGAUUCUGUCCUAAAUAGAGCUUCAUGGAGGCAGAUGUUCCCUUCAGCAGGAUUCAGAGUGAAAAAUUGGGGACGGCCCAUAUUCCAUGCUGGGGCUCUGCAAAAGCUCUGAUGCUGUGCCCCAGACAGUACCAAGAGGAAGAGGAUUCACUGGCAGUGUCACCGCUGGGCAGAUCAGGCUCUGGAAGAGCACACGCCAUGGAAUCCUCCCUGCCUGACACCCACAAGUGCACACACGCAUGUGCGCACAUGCACACACACUCUACAAGACUUCCAGUGGGCCACACUCCUGGCAUUCACACUUCCAGCAAAGGUGGGCUCUUGGGGAACUUGGAUGGGUCCUGCAGGCUAUUCUCCUAGAGAGCAGUGUCCUUUCCCCCUGCUCUCCAGGGAUCUGCGGGGGCCUCUGCUUGCCCACAUUCUCACCAGAGCUGGUCGCCACCAGAUCAUAAACCUGCCAGUCUGGUGGUGACCAAUGCCGUCUCCACGGUGUUUCCGUUUGUACGUGUCCUCAUGGGGUAGGUCGAGGAUCUCUGACAUAUGCUGUCCCUAUGUCUCGCCUCUUGGGAGUUGCGUGUAUUUGCUCUCUGUCCCUUUUAAAAGAACGACUUUCGAGAGUUUUUUGGUGCAGUGAGAGGUUUCACCUUUCUCUCACCUUGGUUGAGGAGGAAUGCUUUCCAGUUUGUGGUUUGUCUUUCCAGCUGUCUCCCUUUUUCUUGUUUUUGUUUUGGCCACGGGAAGAACCAGGCAUUUCCUGUGUGGCUUGUGGCUCUGGUGUCCCCCUUAGAAGAGUGGUCUGUAGCCUGAGUUAAUGCACAUGUUUACCAAAAGGGCUUCAUUUGAAGCAUCUACUCCAUAAUCCAUUGGGACUUUCCUAUUAGCUGGCAAAAAUGCUAUUCAAGUAGAAAGAGAAAUGAAAAUUCGAUCAGUGCUUCUGAAAAUAUGGAAGCAGACCAGUAUGGCCACCUAUUGCAUGAUUCCACUGAUAGGAAACAUCCAGAAAAGAUUUACAAAAACCUGCCAGAACACAGAAUAGGGGUUGUCAGGGAGCGAGGGAGGCACGGGGGAUGAGCGCUUUUGGAACAGGUUUCCCUUGUGGUGAAGGGAAUGUUCAGGAACUGGACAGUGGUGAUGGAGGCCGAACGUUGUGACUGUACUUAACGCUCAGGAAUUGUACAAUUGAAAGGGAGAAAACGCAGAGUUCUUCAAAUAGAAAUCAAUUUAUUUCAAAAUUUAUACAAACACCAAAAAACCCCAGAAAAAACGAAAAUAAAAAAAUGCUAAACAUACAUACAGGAUAACCAGGGAGAGGAAGGGAGUUUGUGGUGAGGGAGAAGGUGGAAGGGAUGGGUCAGGAGCUGGGGAUGACGGGGGUUGGAGAGUGAGCUCUCCCGGGGCCAAUGCUGGGGCCUGAGCCCCCUGCAGGGGUCCAGCAGGAGCUGGAGCAGGGGUUGGCUCUCCCUGCUCCCUGGUGACAACUUCAGCCUGCCACAGGGCCCUAGCAGGAGCUGGAGCAUGGGAUGGCUUUCCCUGAUUCAUGGCCCCAUCUUCAGCGGGCUCCACAGACCAAGAAGGAGUCAUAGCAGGGGAUGGCUCUCCCUGGUCUGAGGCCUCAUCUUCAUCCAGCUCCACAGCCAGGGCAGCAGCAGGAUCAGGGGAUGGCUCUCCCUGCUCAGCUGGUUCGAUGACAGCCGGCUGCAUGGCUCCUGCACCAGCCUGAGUAGGGCCUGGCUCUCCCUGCUCCCGUCAUGGGGCCCACUGUCUCCUGCUCUUCUGCAGGAGCUGCUGAAAAGGAUUGUUGUCCCUGCACAUGUGCUGGGUCCUGUGCUGUCUCUGAGGUUGGACAAGAGUCACUGAAGACGCCGGCCUUUUCCCCACGCCUGCCGCUCCACUCUUCCUGCACAGCUUCUCCUCUCUCGGGGAGAUGGACUCCGUGUCCCCUUCCACCAGCUCAGCGCCAAUCUCCCGAGUGGACCUCUGCAAAGACAGUGACCAACAGCCAGCCCAGAAGCAUCAGAGCCCUGCUCAGCUGCUCUUGCUCUGUCUUCUGCCCUCUGCACCUAAUGCUCCCAGAUCAGGCACCAACCUGUGUCUGCGCAGAAUUCUCCCCAGGAUGAUACAAAGAGACCUCAGCGGCUCGGGAUAAACCUCGGGCACACGGUGCUGCCCGGCACUCCAUGUCCCACCUGACAAGCCAUGAGCUGGGUUGGGAAUGGGACCGGCCCACCAGGUUUCUAACCCCUCAUUAGCCUGCUCCUCCUCGCAGUUGUCCACUCACACAAACCACCCUUUCCCAUACACACACAUACAUGCACACACAUGCACACGGGGAGGGGACGUAGGGCUGUCCAAGUGGCACCACAGUGGUGGCCUGGCCUGGAUUGCCCCACCCUGGGCGUCCCUGUGUUACCUUUGUGUCCCUCUCCACAAACGUCCAGAGACAUCUCAAGUGGGACAGGAGCCUGCAUCUACAUCCUGGGUGCUCCUUGCGGGCUCUGCUGAGGCUGUGGCCCCGGCAGAUGGGCAGACAACAUGAAAACAUGGUGCUCCUGAUGCGGGGUCGGUUAGCCGAGGAGUCGAAAGAAAGAUUUAUUGGACUCUCAAAGUCUGGUAGUGGUGCUCUUUUAUUUAGAGAACAGUACAGAAUAGCAUGGGGA